CGGUACCACGCGUCCCUUCCGGUUCCGAGCGCGCCGCCCACCUCCAACUGCAGACUGCUCACUACGUUUGUCAGCC
rnacentral:sRNA from 1 species